UGCGUAGGCGGACUAAUAAGUCAGUGGUGGAAUCUUUCGGCUCAACCGAGAAACUGCCAUUGAUACUGUUAAUCUUGAGUUCGGUUGAGGUAGGCGGAAUGUGUAAUGUAGCGGUGAAAUGCUUAGAUAUUACACAGAACACCAAUUGCGUAGGCAGCUUACUAGACCGACACUGACGCUGAGGCACGAAAGCGUGGGGAGCGAACAGGAUUAGAUACCCUGGUAGUCC
rnacentral:rRNA from 1 species